rnacentral:rRNA from 1 species
UGGGGAAUAUUGGACAAUGGGCGCAAGCCUGAUUCAGUCAUGCCGCGUGAGUGAUGAAGGCCUUAGGGUUGUAAAGCUCUUUUGUCCGGGAAGAUAAUGACUGUACCGGAAGAAUAAGCCCCGGCUAACUUCGUGCCAGCAGCCGCGGUAAUACGAAGGGGGCUAGCGUUGCUCGGAAUCACAGGGCGUAAAGGGCGCGUAGGCGGACUCUGAAGUCGGGGGUGAAAGCCCAGGGCUCAACCCUGGAAUAGCCUUCGAUACUGAGAGUCUUGAGUUCGGAAGAGGUUGGUGGAAUUGCGAGUGUAGGGGUGAAAUUCGUAGAUAUUCGCAAGAACACCAGUAGCGAAGGCGGCCAACUGGUCCGAUACUGACGCUGAGGCGCGAGAGCGCGGAGAGCAAAC